AGAGGGCUUUUAAUACAUUUUUCCUGUCCUUUUAAAUCCUGCAUUCCUCUUGACAGAGUUGGCCAGUGCUAAGGCUAUUAACAGGUGAGCAAGCUCGGCUGAAGAAACUGGAGCAGAAGUUAAAGGAGGAGGAGGACUAGGAAUGUGGACUCUUCUUGAAUGUAUUGGUAGUCUUGUUGCCAUAAGGUUAAUGUUGUUUGCCUCAGGAUGAGCAUUAAAGUUGUCUGGAAGCUGCUGCUUUUGUGAGCGAGAUGUGUUCCUUUACGCUUGCUGCUAUGCAUCGUGUUCAUGAGUAGUUUCCUGGAAUAAAAUGAGCUCUUCCAAGAUGGGUAGAAAUAUUGCUACUGGUUAUAACUGUAAUGCUGAAUUUUGAAUACAGAGGCAAGACGCACAGCAACAGCGGAGAGAUGAGGCAUCUCAGGGAGCUGCAGCUAUUGGAUUUUAAAUGAACUUCCCCUCCUUGCUCGUGUCUCAAAGCAUGCAUCUCUUAGGGAAGGCAUAUAAAGAGAAAAAAGCAGAAAAAAAAGACCAACAGCUUAACAAAUGGGCACAGCUUGUGGUUUAAAAAUAACACAACAUCCAGAAGCCAAACUGUUUUCAUUGGAUGUGGUAAGUGUUAACAUUUCACCUUCAAUGGCAGCAGUAUUUACAUUUGUUUGCAUCAAAAAGGAACUUCAUUUUCUCACCUAAAUAGAAGAAGUCAGUGAAUGUCAUGAGUAUAUCUGAAUUCAGUUGCUGACCCACUGAAAAUUUUAAAGGUUUACAGAGUUUUAAGAUUACUGCGAAGUUCCUAUGAAUAUUUGACCAAACAACCUCUGUGAGUGACAAUUACUACUGAUACUUCUAGAAAAUCAUUUAUUCAAGAAAAUGACAUCUGCUUGUGUAAGAAGUUUGUCAAAGUGGAAAGACAAUUCACUUUGAAAGGUGAAAAACUAAUGAAAUAACUGUACCUAUGCCAUAAGAAAGUGGGAUAAAACACUGCUCUCACCUCUGUAAAGGGCUCUUCAAGACAACAUUACUGUCUCCAGCACUGGAUGACUAAGAAUGAAAAACUUACUUCAGGAUUGAUGAACAUAUUAAUAGAUAGCAUGUUAGGAUAAGAAAUGGAAACAGAUGCCUUGCCUGUCAUGAACCUAAGAAUUCUGUCAACAAGAAUACUGAUGUACAAAUAGUGUGAGCUGUUAAGGAAAACAAAAUUAUCAAAUAUAUUCAUCUAUUUUAAAAUAUUUCAUUAGUAUUUUAAACAUUUUAUUUGGUAUAAGUAGAUUUUUCUUUACUUAAUCCUACACUCCUUUCUUUUUCUUUUCUUUUGGUUUAUGAUUACUAAAGUUAGACUUGGGUUUGAAAAGUCUUAAAAAAGUAGAAAAUAAGUAAUUCCUUGGUGUCUUGUGACUAAAAUAUAACUUAUUUGAAGCAUGUCCAGUCAAAAAGUCUACUAUUUUUAAAGAUAAAUGUUCCGUUUGUGACUUAACCAUAAAAGCUUCAGAUCUAAUUCUGACCUGACCCGGAGCAACCCUCUUGCUGGCUGAAGGUCUAAAUUCAAUCUUGUUUUCAAAUCUUAGCUUUAACUGCGGUUCUGUGUCUGCAUCAUCCUUGAAGAGAAGAGAUAUUGGGGCAUAUAUUAAUAAAUGACUUAAGAAGAAAAGGAAGGAAUUCCA
ensembl:lncRNA